UUUUGGAACUUUAAGAUUUAAUGACUGCCCAGACGGAUUUUGGACUUACAUGGGACUUGUAGCCCCUUUGUUUUGGCUAAUUUCUCCCAUUUGGAAUGGUAACAUUUACCCAAUGCCUGUGUCCCCAUUGUAUCUAGGAAGUAACUAACUUGCUUUUGAUUUUACAGGCUCCUACAUAGAAGGGACUUGCCUUGUCUCAGAUGAGACUUUGUACUUGGACUUUGGGGUUAAUGCUGGAGUGAAUUAAGACUUUGGGGGCUGUUGGGAUGGCAUGAUUGAUUUCUGAAAUGUGAAAGGGACAUGAAAUUUGGGAGGGCCCAGGAGCGUAUUGAUAUGGUUUGGCUUUGUAUUCCCACCCGAAUCUCAUCUUGAAUUAUAAUCCCCAUAAUCCCCACGUGUCAAGGGAGAGACCAGGUGGAGGUGAUUGAAUCAUGCAGCGGGUUUCCCCCAUGCUGCUCUCUUGAUAGUGAGUUCCCACGAGAUCUGAUGGUUUUAUAAGUGUUUGGUAUUUCCUCCUGCAUUCAUUUCUCUCUCCUGCCACUUGUAAAGAAGGUGCUUGCCUCCCUUUCACCUUCCACCAUUAUGUCAAGUUUCCUGAGGCUUCCCCGGCCAUGUGGAACUGUGACAUUCCCUUCACAUGGCCGCCCACCAUGCUGAACUGAUGGAUUAUUGCAAGUCCUGGUCCUGGUUUGGUUGCCGCGUCCACAGCUCCUUGUGCAUUCUUCCCAAAGACUCCAUUCCGACCAGCUACCAUCCACUAUACAAAGGUGAACCAUUACACCAUCAGUAAAUGUCAAAAAUUUAAAAUUCCUGAGAUUAGCCUAGAGCAUGGGCUCUAGAGUCAUGUUUCCUGGAUUCAAAUUCUGUGUCUGCUCCUUACUACCUCUCUGAGCCCCAUGUCCUUAAAAAUGGUGCCUACUUCAGAGGAUUCCUGUUAGACUCAACAAGAGGAUGUGACUACAACUUUUGAACAAGUUAAUUGCUGGUGUGGGGAUUCCAUCAGCUACGCAUGGAAGAAUGGCUUGUGAAUUCUCAUUGACCGUGUAGUGUCCUUCUGUACUUCUGAUCCUGGGUGGUACUAUGAAGAGUUUAAAAAAGAGUCAUCCAGGAAGCUGAGUUCAAUAAUGUCUUUAUUCACAAUAAAAAUUAACACAUAAAAAACUCUUUUCAGGGUAAUUUUGCUAGAAAUACUAAAAAUGAAAAUCUAUUAAGAUAUUGAUUUGCUUCCUGCUAUGAAAGAAAUCAGUAUUUUUGGUGCUAGCAAGAAUCCUAAUGUAAUUGAACUUACUGAAUAUAUUUACGUUUGGUUUCUGAGCAAAUGACAGAACUGGGUAGAAGAUCUUUAGAUUUUAUUUGGCUUCCCUGACUUUUCCGUCUUUAAGUUACUUCUGUUUACUGCAGUGAAGUAAAACAAACCAACAACAAAACGAAAAAAUGCUUCUAUGGUUGCGUAACUGCUGUAUAUUAUGAGGAUGAACUAAUAAUAGUCACCAUAAAACACUAUAAAACACUCACCCAAUACUGAAUAUCACAAAGUGCUGUAGAAAAAAAAAUACUUAUUGCAGUAUUUUACAUGUUACAAUGAAUACAAGUAAACCAGAUCAAGACACUUAAUUCAGUUUUCAUACUGUCAGAGAAAAUUUUCAGAGUGACUUUAUAACUGCACAGUAUAGUACCAAAUACUUCCUGUGACUCAAAUUUUUUUAACUAGAAUUUGGGCAAUAUAGAGAUGAACUGAAUAUUUUAGUGUAAUAAAAAAUACUUGAUUGGACUUAGAACUAAGAUAGUUACUUCUAAAGAAAAGACAAAAAGUAUUAAGAAUUCUCGGUUCAAAAGUAAAAAUACACUCCCUUCCCAAAACAAUGAAUUUGGAAUUAUUCAAACAAAUCAGAAGCAGACCCAUCUUAAUGACAUUUUAACGAGUGAAAAGAGAACAGUUGGCCUUAGCAAAAAUAAAAUUGCUAUAUAAACUUUAAUUAGCUACUUUCAGUUAAAUUAACUGUUUUCGAUUAAAAUAGUUAAUUUUUUGUCCUUUAUGAUUAUAUGAUUAAAUAUACAAACAUUAUAUAAAUAAUUAUAGAUACAAACAUAGAUAACUUGGAAAACACAAAAAUUGAUUUUGCUCAAUGGUACAUCGUAAAUACUCAUUUUUAAUUAAUUCUUGCUCUAUUUUCAUUAUCUUCUUUAUCCUGAUUUCCUUGGGUUGCUAUUUGUCUUUUGUUACGGGAUACAAACUUGCAGCAUUAGUAUAUUUAAUUCAGUUCUUUCUUUUUCAAAAUGAAAGAAUUAUUGCUAUGACUUUAUAUUGAUUUUAGCUUUGAGCACACACUGUACAUUUUGAUAUGUCAUGUCUUUAUUUUCUAAAUAAUGUGAAAACAGAAAAAUACUCUUUGACCUACUUUUUGGCUAGAAGAGUGUUUAAAGUUGUCUGGGUUUGGGGUUUUCAAAGUUCAUUACAAAUUUCUAGCUUUGUUGCAUGGUGGGUAGAAAUUAUGGUCUAUCUUUUUGAAACUUAUUAACAAUUUCUUUGUUUAGUAUAUGGUCAAUUUUGGUAAAUUUUCUAUAGACAUUUGAGAAGAAGGAGUAUUAUUUAUUUGAAGGCAAAUGGAUAGUGUAUAUUGAUUAGUUUAAUUAUAUUAACUGAAAGCAGGGGAGUUAUUUGGAAAACUCAUAAAUGAUGAUUUUUAAUUUUGGCUAAAUUAUUCAACCAAAAAUGUUUCCACUCAAAAUUGUCUCUGUUACUAUGAAGUUACAGAAAAUUAAAAUACACUUGAAAAAUAAAACAGCUUUCACAAAUUUCUGAAAAAUGAAAAGGCAGAAACUCCUCAUUAUAAUAAUUACCUCUGAAAAUAGAGGCUGGAAGCAGUUUAAUCUGGUAUUGUUUCCCACCACUGAUAUUAACGUGGAUUCUAUCCUUAGUCAAAAUAUAUAAUAAAAACUAAAAAUAUUUCAAUGCUGAUUUUUCAAUAUUUUGUUGUCUUAAUACAAAGAUAUUUUUCUGUUAUAAAAAUAUACAUGUAAUAUUUUGCCACUUUAAUAUAAUGAAUCAAAUAGAUCUCCUAAUUCUCAUUAGAGUCAAAUCAUACAAUGUAGGUCAUAUGAUGAUUCAUUUGAACCAAGAUGACUUGAAGCUUGAGAAGUAAAGCAGAAAAGUCACAAAACACAAACGGACUCUUCAUAAGCCAACUAAUCACAAUAUGUGAGGGUACUAGCAACACAUUAAAAAUCCUGGCAAUAUUAAUAAAAUCUGUCUUUCUCUCUCACACACCUAUGUGCACAAACACACAGAAACACAGCCUACAGAAAACAGAUUUGAAGUGCACCUACACACCACACCCCCACACACACUUUGGAUUACUGAGUUUAAGGGUUUUUGACUUCCAUCAGAUUUGCUCUUGGUAGCCUUUUCUCUUUGCCAUGGUAGUGCAGCAGACUA
rnacentral:lncRNA from 1 species